rnacentral:rRNA from 1 species
UAAGUAGGGGGCAAGCGUUAAUCGGAAUUACUGGGCGUAAAGCGUGCGCAGGCGGUGCUGUAAGAAAGGCGUGAAAUCCCCGGGCUUAACCUGGGAAUGGCGCUUGUGACUGCAGUGCUGGAGUGCGGCAGAGGGGGAUGGAAUUCCGCGUGUAGCAGUGAAAUGCGUAGAUAUGCGGAGGAACACCGAUGGCGAAGGCAAUCCCCUGGGCCUGCACUGACGCUCAUGCACGAAAGCGUGGGGAGCAAACAGG